AUACGGAGGGUGCAAGCGUUGUUCGGAAUCACUGGGCGUAAAGGGCGCGCAGGCGGUUUGGUAAGUCAGAUGUGAAAGCCCACGGCUCAACCGUGGAAGUGCAUUUGAAACUGUCAGACUUGAGUACUAGAGGGGAAAGUGGAAUUCCCGGUGUAGAGGCGAAAUUCGUAGAUAUCGGGAGGAAUACCGGUGGCGAAGGCGACUUUCUGGCUAGAUACUGACGCUGAGGCGCGAAAGCGUGGGGAGCAAACAGGAUUAGAAACCCCAGUAGUCC
rnacentral:rRNA from 1 species